rnacentral:rRNA from 1 species
ACGUAGGGGGGCAAGCGUUGUUCGGAAUUAUUGGGCGUAAAGGGCAUGUAGGCGGUUAUGUAAGCCUGGUGUGAAAUCCUGCAGCUUAACUGUAGAAUUGCAUUGGGUACUGCAAGACUUGAAUCACAGAGGGGAAACUAGAAUUCCAGGUGUAGGGGUGGAAUCUGUAGAUAUCUGGAAGAAUACCGGUGGCGAAGGCGGGUUUCUAGCUGAUGAUUGACGCUGAGGUGCGAAAGUGCGGGGAGCAAACAGGAUUAGAUACCCUGGUAGUCCGCACAGUAAACGAUGUACACUAGGUGUCGGGGCAUGAGUCUCGGUGCCGAAGCUAACGUGAUAAGUGUACCGCCUGGGAAGUAUGCCCGCAAGGGUG